GUACUACAUUAUUGAAAAACUGUACUUUACUCUUGAUUUUUUUGGCAAUUAACAAAACCUAAUGAGUAAAAUUCCGUAACACCAUUCAUAUGGUUGAGUUGGUAAUUUCAAAAACUAUAAUUUUGUAGAGAGGAUUGAACGAGGGAGUUCUUUGACCAAACCGCAGUGAUCGUUUUUGCCAAAUUCGGAAAAUGGGUUGUCUUCUUCCCUGUUACAAACGCAGGUCCUGCUGCUUCAUUUCCUCUGUUUAUAACCUGACAAACUCGAAUCUUUUGAAAGUAAUUCGAUCCCUAGCCUCAAAUAGCUUCCCUCUCGACAUUUUAAAUCGAUGUUGAGAGAGGAAGUAGAGUGAGUGAGAUGUUGAUGAGUGGUGAUUUCUCGUCAUUUUUAUACAUCCUGCAUCCUGUUUCUUUGUAUGUUCAUGUCCCAUUUUUUUUAUCUCCUGAAAUCAAGCCAAGUGUGCCGGUGUAUGUGUGAGUUUUCAUAGCCCCUUGUUUUUUUUUUUCCGAUGACCUUUCCGGUAAGGGCCGAGGACAAAACUUCGGUGUCAACUCAGAAGUAGAGAGACGAGAUCAGAUGAGGUUGUCUUCUCCGGUUGACAGAAAACAAGAGUAAGAAAGAGAUUUAUAGGGAAGCACUGCACAGGUGGAGAGAAAGAUAUAGAGGCCGAAGGUAGUGUUCCCGGUUGUAACUCUUCACAACGAUUUUUGCUGUCAGAGAGGUGUUGUGUCACCAUACAUCGAUCUAAGGAAGCAAGAGAAAGGAAGAGGGUUAUUAAUGCCUUUGGUGAUGGUUAGAACGAUGAGAGAAUGUGAGAUAAACUCAAAGGGUCAAACCGGUUGAACCGGAUGGUUUUAGGUGGCUUUCACGAAGAAGAAGUGACAGUGUAAAGAAAGGUGAAGAAUGAUAAAGUCAACACAAGAAUUAAUUGAGUGACGUAGCACAACAUGUUAAAUGGAGUAAGAAUCAAACGCCAACCGAUAAAGAUAAUUGAUCCCUAUGAUACCCUCUUAGUUAUACCAAAAGGUGUAGAUGUUACUCAAACCAAGAGAUUUCGAUAAAUUUGUGGUGCUAAAGCUUAAAGGUUUGCUUGGGGACUACAAGAAGAUGUACUGGUCCAAAGUAAGUGAUUACCUAGUUUACAUAAUAGUGCAUUAAAACUAAUAAGCUAAGUACUUUCUUCAACAUGUUAUCGAUUAUAUGUGUA